CCGAGCCGUUCCCUUCUUCUUCCCGACGCCGUUCUUUUCUCCUCUCGAGCCCUAACUACCCUAACCGGCGAUCCCUUCUACUUCAUCUUCUCUUCUCUUCUGCACUGCCGCCCCAAUCGUCUGUGCCCUAGUCGCCGGCGAUGCACGGAGCAGCGCCGUACCUCCUGUGCCAUUGAGCCCUGCCGAAGCCGCUACCCUCUCUGGACCGGAGCAGUGCCAGCCGUGCCCUAGAUUGGGUUGUGCCGCCACCGAGUUUGCUUCGUCGCCACUGACCCAGUGCUGCCGCCGGCCUUCCUCGGCCCUAGUUCUCCGGCCGACUCCUCCUCCUUCCCGAGCCACACCGUGCCCUAGAUUUGGGCCACGGCCGACACCAUACAGCGCUGUGCCUGCUUCCCGAGUAGUGUUCGAUCUCUUCGGUGAUCACUUUUGUUACUGUCCCUGCUGUUCCCUAGAGCCGGCAGAGAGAUAAACCAGAGGGAGAACUUGGCUUCGUGCAGUGUAGGCAACAGAACUGUGGCAACGGUUUCAUCUCACUCCAGAUAGGAUUAUUGGCAGCAACUUCGUCUACUGUGCUACAACAGCGAAUCUUCUCCAGCUGUGAUUUGAGGACUUUGAUUCGGGACGAUAUCUCGACGAGUAUCUUGAUUACCGGAUUGGACCACUUUAUU